rnacentral:rRNA from 1 species
UACGAGGGGGGCAAGCGUUGUUCGGAUUUAUUGGGCGUAAAGGGUGCGUAGGCGGUUUGGCAAGUCUUGUGUGAAAUCUUUGGGCUCAACCCAAAGUCUGCAUAAGAAACUGCCGGGCUUGAGUAUGGGAGAGGUGAGUGGAAUUUCCGGUGUAGCGGUGAAAUUCGUAGAUAUUGGGAAGAACACCGGUGGCGAAGGCGGCUCACUGGCUCAUUACUGACGCUCAGGCGCGAUAGCGUGUGGAUCAAACAGG